CAUCGGGUUCUUGCUUGGCAGCGAAAUCGCGAAUUAUUUUGAGCUUUUCUUUUUAAAUGUGAAGCCUAAUUAUAUAUGCAAAAUGCACUUCCGGUUACCCACUAGAAAUACAAAUUACUGUAGAAGUGUUUGGCGGAUAACGUUUACAAACAAGGAUUUUCGAAUAUUUAAGACAUUUGGCGACGUUUUACUUAUUUCAAAUAUCUGUCAUUGAUAACCCAAGCUCUUUAAAUCAAUUUGACAUGAAAAUUAUUUCGAUACCUGUAAAAUAUCGGCGUUCAUGUUCAUUUGAAAAUCGCUCGUGCAAGAAUCGAAUUUGCCUCAUAGUGGCCAAGGCAAGAUAAUUCACAGCUCGCUUUCCACGUUUAGAGGCAGUUAUGAUCUAGAAUAUGUUUCAAUGCUUAAAAUUGUGAUAAUAUUAUCACUACACCUUGCUACAGCAUUUGGAUACGGUAUUCAUCAGUACGUAUGGUUGUUAUUGUCAUAACAUGCAGAGGCGGAUCUAGGUUCAUAUCAUAAUGAAAUGUGACCAGGCGCAAUACAAAAAAAAAUGGAUUGCUGCUAAUAAAGCUUUAAGAUGCAGUGAUGCAAUGCCUAAUGAUGAUGGCUGUUGUAAUCUGUUCAAUAAUGUUUUUGAUAAUGACCUUGGACAUUCAUAUCCUUUACAAAAAUCAGCUUGAACCAUUGCCAGUCCUAAACAAAGUUCUUUCUCUUUAAAAGUUGGUCUUAAUGAUUGUGAUAUUGGGGAAAAUGACCGUGCUGUUUCUGGUGAAGUUGAUUCUUUAGAUGUUUCUUUUUGCCAUGGAAAAGCUGAUUUUUUAGUGCAUGUGAAUGCAGAUAUUGAGGAAAGGCAUUCUUCUGAUUCUUCUGAUUUUGAACAUUAUAGUUUAAAUGUUUCUUUUCAAGAUGGGUUAGUUGAUUGGGUGAAUGAGUACUAAAUUAAGCAAAAUUCUGUUGAUGGUUUGCUUCCUCUUCCUAAGGAUAAUUGUCAUCCAAAUUUGCCUAGUUGUGCCUGCACUUUGUUGCAUACAUCAAGAUGUAUUCCCAUUCAGAAAUAAUCUGGCAUAGAUUACACAUAUUUCUCUUUUGGUGAACAAUUGUUAAAGCACUUUCACAAGCCCCUUGUGAAACAGUUAAGAACAUUUAUCAUCUUGAAAUCUCUUUAAAUGUUGAUGGGCUUCCUUUGUUUAAAAGUUCUGCAAAAAAUGUAUGGCCAGUGUUGUGUGCGAUUUUGAAUAUCAAACCUGUUGUAGUGUUUCCUAUUGUCCUAACAUGUGGUGACUCGAAGCCAAAAGACUUGGAGUUUUUGGAUGAUUUUAUAGAAAAUUUGAAGGGUAUUCUAGAAAGGGGAGUCCAAGAUGGGGAAAAGGUUCUGACUGUUACAGUAAGGGGAAUUGUUUGUGAUGCUCCUGCAAGAGUACUUGUUAAAGGUACAAAACUUUGUACUGGUUAUUUUGGUUGUGACAAGUGUACACAAAAAGGGAAGUGGCUUGGUCUAGGGACUUACUCUCAAAAUACUAAUAUAGAAUUGUGCAGUAAUAUUUCCGUUAGAAAGCAGAUACAAGAAGAACAUCAUCGCUUUGUUAGCCCUUUCCGUCACUUGCCUGUUGAUAUGGUAGAAUAAUUUCCAAUUGACUACGUGCAUCAACUGUGUCUGGGUGUUAUGCGUAAAUUGAUUAUGGUUUGGAUGAGGGGAAAUUGCGCUACUAUAAUGUCUGUUGCCCAUGUAGAGGCUGUUAGUAAAAAAUUGGUGGAGCUUAAACAAUUUAUCCCCUCUACAUUUGUGCAAAAACCUAGGAGUUUAAUGGACGUUGACAGAUGGAAAGCUACAGAAUUCAAACAGUGUGCAGUUUUUCACACAUUGCUACGUUGCCUUUAAAUGUAAUGAGUGAUUUUGCUUUUUAGAUUCGCCGGUAUACAGCGAGCUGAUCUCCCUUUGCAGAAAAAGCACCAGAAAUCCUAAACACAAAGGAUCAUGCAAUAACGUCCCCUUCUACUAGUAGGACACCAUCUCAACGUAGUGUGCCUUAAUUUAAGUGACGUUCGUGCGUUCAAUAAAGAUAUAUGUUAAACCCAGUACGUGUUUUUUCUGUAAAUACAAGCAACGUCUCUUCACAAGGAAUUCCUACAACUGGAACAACAAGAGAAAGACAUUCUCCACGAAACAGUGGUGUCUUAGGCAAGCUUUUCUUACAAUUCAUUAUUGCAUGUCUUGUUGUUACGUUUUCAUUUACGUUCAUUUCGUGUCGUUUGAAAUGUUUCUUUUUCU